rnacentral:rRNA from 1 species
GAUGAACGCUGGCGGCGUGCCUAAUACAUGCAAGUCGAGCGAACAGACGAGGAGCUUGCUCCUCUGACGUUAGCGGCGGACGGGUGAGUAACACGUGGAUAACCUACCUAUAAGACUGGGAUAACUUCGGGAAACCGGAGCUAAUACCGGAUAAUAUAUUGAACCGCAUGGUUCAAUAGUGAAAGACGGUUUUGCUGUCACUUAUAGAUGGAUCCGCGCCGCAUUAGCUAGUUGGUAAGGUAACGGCGUACCAAGGCAACGAUGCGUAGCCGACCUGAGAGGGUGAUCAGCCACACUGGAACUGAGACACGGUCCAGACUCCUACGGGAGGCAGCAGUAGGGAAUAUUCCGCAAUGGGCGAAAGCCUGACGGAGCAACGCCGCGUGAGUGAUGAAGGUCUUCGGAUCGUAAAACUCUGUUAUUAGGGAAGAACAAAUGUGUAAGUAACUAUGCACGUCUUGACGGUACCUAAUCAGAAAGCCACGGCUAACUACGUG